rnacentral:rRNA from 1 species
UACGUAGGGUGCAAGCGUUAUCCGGAAUUAUUGGGCGUAAAGAGCUCGUAGGCGGUUUGUCGCGUCUGCUGUGAAAACUGGAGGCUCAACCUCCAGCCUGCAGUGGGUACGGGCAGACUAGAGUGCGGUAGGGGAGAUUGGAAUUCCUGGUGUAGCGGUGAAAUGCGCAGAAUAUCAGGAGGAACACCGGUGGCGAAGGCGGGUCUCUGGGCCGAUGACUGACGCUGGAGGAGCGAAAGCGUGGGGAGCGAACAGG